GCCUCUUCACCACCACCGGCGCUGACAUCAACGAAUCCGGCUUCAUUGAGUAUCUACCGCCGUCCACCAUACAUCAAAUUUCACCAAUUGUUCCAAUUCCGUGUCACAAAUCGAAUCCCAAAUUCUCGCAGCUCAAAGAGCCCAAAGAUCUCAUUUUAUGGUCUGAAAGAAAGAAAUUCACACCACGAGAAGACUCACAAAUCUGGGAAUUUGUCCGCCGAAAAUGUGUCGAUUCGGCUGGAAUUUUUGUGAAAAACGAUGUGCUUCGUGGUCGGGGAACACUGUUUUUCAAAGAUUUUAGGAAUACAGAGAGGAAAUAUGAGAGUAUUACGCAACG
rnacentral:sRNA from 1 species